AAGCCGGUGGCGACGGUAGCAAGGAAAAACUCCCUGAGUUGUUAAGAGGAAGAAACCUUGAGAGGAAGCAGACUCAGAAGGGAACCCGUCCUCAUCUGGGUGACAACGGAGAGUGUGAAAUCCCAGGGCCUGAGUAGCAACCGUAGCCCCAGCAACCACAGUGAGUGUGUCCAUCUGGAACUGGAGUAGAUGCAGGAGCACCUACAUCUACAAGCAGGAGCAUGAGUGGCCUAUUCAGUUUCUCUGUAAUGGUCCAUCCAGAGCUAGGGCAUCCGAACGGAUCAGGCAGGUCCGGAGAGAAGAAAGUAUCAGGAUCUCCAGCAUCUCCAUAAAAUCAUGUGUGGCCCGACAGAAGGAGAGAGGAAGAGAUUGUUAAGUAAAACUGUGCUUUGCAUGAAAGAAAGUCUACUCAUGUGAAAUUAAAACGUCUUGGAACACUUCCUGGAUCAUGUUGGGGCAGGAACAUUGGGAUAAACUGCUUUGAAGCACAGUUGUAUCAAGUACGUGGAUCCAAAUGGCUGCAUUCUCUAUCCUCGGUGUCUUCUCACUUCUGUUCUUAAAGACUACGGAAAUAUAGCACAACUUUGCAUGUUGUCAGACCAGUCAGCUGGAAUAAACAUUUCAAUUCCAACGCAAUCAUCCGCACCCCUAAUAAUUACAGGCGCACAUCUCAGAGACGCCGGUUAAUGAGUGUGUUCAUUGGUGUCAUCAUGUGCUCCGCAAAUACGAAAACAGGAAAUAAUAUUGGAAGUGGAAUGGAGGUUAAUGGCUUGAUAAUUCUGCCUUUAUGAGGAGAUGUGUUUUAUCUACUUUGCAUUGUAAAGAAAGCAAGAUGGCAUCAACCUAGGGGUUGCUUGACUUUGAGUUUGUGUUGUGUAUAUGUGCAAACCCUUC
ensembl:lncRNA